rnacentral:rRNA from 1 species
GUUGAACGCUGGCGGCAGGCCUAACACAUGCAAGUCGAAUGGUAACAGGAAACAGCUUGCUGUUUCGCUGACGAGUGGCGGACGGGUGAGUAAUGUCUGGGAAACUGCCUGAUGGAGGGGGAUAACUACUGGAAACGGUAGCUAAUACCGCAUAACGUCGCAAGACCAAAGAGGGGGACCUUCGGGCCUCUUGCCAUCAGAUGUGCCCAGAUGGGAUUAGCUAGUAGGUGGGGUAACGGCUCACCUAGGCGACGAUCCCUAGCUGGUCUGAGAGGAUGACCAGCCACACUGGAACUGAGACACGGUCCAGACUCCUACGGGAGGCAGCAGUGGGGAAUAUUGCACAAUGGGCGCAAGCCUGAUGCAGCCAUGCCGCGUGUAUGAAGAAGGCCUUCGGGUUGUAAAGUACUUUCAGCGGGGAGGAAGGGAGUAAAGUUAAUACCUUGGCUCAUUGACGUUACCCGCAGAAGAAGCACCGGCUAACUCCGUG